GCUAGUGGAGAGACAGAGGCACAAACUGCAGCGACUGAGUGGAGAAACGGAAGCAUGCCAUAACUUGGCUUGUUGUGUUUUAAAAUUAUCUCUCUCUUUCUAUCUCUCCUGCUCGCCUUCAUAAUGUGCUCACUCUUUUUACGGGGAGUUCUUCAGAACAGCUCCACCAGGUAGCGCUAAGAUGAAAGACCUGCUUGACAGGCCACACACACACACACACACACACACACACACACACACACACACACACACAGAGUGAGAGAUAGAGAGAGGGGUGGUGGGGAAAAAAACAUGAAGUCAUGAAGUAAAAGAGCAGCAAAUGUAUCAGAUGAGUUUUUACAUGGUAUUACGGGCUUCUGCUGUAAGAGCUCUCUCUCGCUCUCUCUCUCGCACACACACACAAACACACACACACAGAGCAGUCCAAUGGCGCAACACCCUGCGCUGUAUGCCCAGUUGACCUUCAGCUUGUGGCUGGGUGAUCGAUAAGCCUCUCUUCCCCCUUGAAUGUACAAACAGGAAAUCAAAGGCUCGUAUACCGCCUUGAGUGCAAAUCAAAAAGUGCCUUCGCAUCUCUGUCAAAUGGCCUGAGCAAGAGGGGAGGGGGGAGGGGGCAAAGAGGAAAGCGAGUAGGAAGGGCAAGAGACUCACGUAAACAUAUGACGAUUCUUCAGACAGUAAUAGGCCAUCACCUCUUCAGAGGGCCAAACACCUGAGAGAGAGAAAAGAGAAGACAAGAAGAAACAGGUGAGAGGAAACAGAACACCCUAGAAGAAAUGUACAUGGACCCAGAGAAAACAUACAAAAAAAAUCCACAGACAUUAACCCAAGCACAAGACUGACCCUGGGACCCUGACCCUGGAGCUGAGAGGUUUCUACUACCACUGCGGCAGUGGUGGCUUGGCUUGACUCUGGGUUAAUAAUCGGAAGGUCAGGGGUUCAAGCCCCAGUACUGCCAAGCUGCCACUUUUGGCCCAAACCCUCUCUGCUCCAGGGGCGCUAUAUCAUGGCUGACCCUACACUCUGACCCCAACUUGCUAACAUGAUGGGGUAUGCGAAAAAAAUUUUUUCACUCUGCUGUAAUGUAUAUGUGAUUAAUAAAUACUCAUUAUCAUUAUUUUCCUGACACGAAUAUUAGCUUCACCUCUCUGGCUAGUACACAGCUGCUCAGCUUGGAUUAUUAGGUAACCAAUGAAGUGAAUUUUCUUGACAUUCUCUCCUCAAAGUUUAGUGAUCCUGUACUUAAUCCUCGGCAAACAAACGCACCAAAGAACAGCAAACAGCAUAACAAGUCCGGUAAUUCUUAAGCAAACACGCAUGCACACUACACCCACGCACCCUCACACAGCGAACUUUCAGUGACCCUCAGAUCAGGAAGCUUGAACUCUAUGUGGCAUACCCAUACACAGACUCAUACCAGCUAAUCCUAUUUCAGAAAUGCCGUGGCACCUAAAGUCCUUGAUUAAGAAAGGCCUGUGUAUAGCAGGGUAAGAUGGCUUUUGAUAUUACCCACCUCGGCAGUACAAAAUCUGCCUUAGUUAAAUCUGCACAGUAAAAGCCUCCAACAUAUGCUGUCGGACACAAAGUUGCUCUAAAGCCUCUUACACACCUACUGUACAAUCUGUUUUCCUCACCCGCUGCAGUCAUGAGACAGAGUGCCUGGUUUAACUAAUCUUUGUCUCUAGCCAGUGGGAAAUUGCUCAAAUAGUUACGAAUCCACAAGAAAUAAAAAAAUAUAUAGAUUUUUUUUAAAAAAAACACCCAUACCCGUGACUUUUUUGAGUUAUGUCUUGAUGCACACAUUUAGACUCCAGCUCUCCAGGAGAGGAGCUUGGCACCCCUCAGCUAUGCUCUCCACCUAGCAUAAGACAUCCACUACAAAGGCCUGUACGUAAGAUGGUUGUGCCCUCAUAAAAAUGACACAGGUCCUGACAUUGUGUGUUCAAGUCCUCCUGGGAAGUUUAUAUUUAGGAUUUGGGAAGUUGUAAUUACGACGUCAGGUGCGUUCAAGUCACUUUGGUCGGAGCAA